rnacentral:rRNA from 1 species
GACGAACGCUGGCGGCGUGCUUAACACAUGCAAGUCGAACGGAAAGGCCCUGCUUUUGUGGCGUGCUCGAGUGGCGAACGGGUGAGUAACACGUGAGUAACCUGCCCUUGACUUUGGGAUAACUUCAGGAAACUGGGGCUAAUACCGGAUAGGAGCUCCUGCUGCAUGGUGGGGGUUGGAAAGUUUCGGCGGUUGGGGAUGGACUCGCGGCUUAUCAGCUUGUUGGUGGGGUAGGGGCUUACCAAGGCUUUGACGGGUAGCCGGCCUGAGAGGGUGACCGGCCACAUUGGGACUGAGAUACGGCCCAGACUCCUACGGGAGGCAGCAGUGGGGAAUAUGGCACAAUGGGCGGAAGCCUGAUGCAGCAACGCCGCGUGCGGGAUGACGGCCUUCGGGUUGUAAACCGCUUUCGCAUGUGCCGAAGCGUGAGUGACGGUAAUGGGUAAAGAAGCACCGGCUAACUACGUG